UCGAAUGACUCGCUAAUACCGCAUAUGACGAAAGUUGAAAGGAGUAAAUCCGUCUAAAGAUGAGCCCGCGUCCGAUUAGCUAGUUGGUAGAGUAAAAGCCUACCAAGGCGACGAUCGGUAGCUGGUCUGAGAGGAUGAUCAGCCACAAUGGGACUGAGACACGGCCCAUACUCCUACGGGAGGCAGCAGUGGGGAAUUUUACGCAAUGGGCGAAAGCCUGACGUAGCGACACCGCGUGAGCGAAGAAGCCCCUUGGGGUGUAAAGCUCUGUCAGCUGGAACGAAAAAAUGACGGUACCAGCAGAGGAAGCAUCGGCUAACUACGUG
rnacentral:rRNA from 1 species